rfam:Triticum aestivum genome assembly, contig: Triticum_aestivum_CS42_TGACv1_scaffold_570044_7AS
AUAAUACUUCCUUCGUUCAAAAAUACUUGUCGAAGAAAUUGAUAAAAAUGGACGUAUCUAAAAUUAAAAUAUGUCUAGAUACAUUCAUUUAUCAGACGAGUAUUUUCGGACCGAGGGAGCAUAAU